GUCGCAUCCUACAGAGCCCUUCUCACGAGGGCCUUCCCGCAAAUUUCGUCCUCCUUCUUCACUCCCUCGUCUCCGUUCCCCUUCGGCGAUGGCCGCCGACGCCAACCACAGGAAGGGUUAGAUCCCUUCCCCACUCGCCUCUUCCUCCUCUUCCGUCCGAUCUCCGCUCACUCCUCUCGUGGCUCCCGAUCCGCAGUCGUGGUGAACUUCCAGUCGGUCGCCAACGCGCCGAAGCUGCGGCAGUCCAAGUUCAAGAUUGGUGGAAACGAGAAAUUUGCGAGGGUGAUUGAAUUUCUUCGCUGCCAAAUUCACCAGGACACAGUGUUUCUCUACGUGAAUAGUGCAUUUUCCCCGAAUCCAGACGAGUUGAUAUCUGAUUUAUACAAUGGCUCACUACUCGGAUUAACACUUUCCAAACUAAAUAGCUGGGCAUCGACAGCGACAAUCAGCGGAUGAAGGAGUGGAUGAAAAGGGUACCUGAGUGCUUGCAUGCCUGGAUCAGCCCAAUCCCUAUUAGUGAGUGAUCAAGCAAGGUCAAAAAGAAGAGCAAGCCCACGGCUAGGCAUAGUAUCAAGAGAUUGCUCGCCCGUCGCAUGCCUAACGAAUCCAGAGAAACAAGAAAAGCAUGACCAAUUGAAGGGGUCGACUGCCCAAGGAGAGUAAAAUAAUGACUAAUGGUGGUUAAACAUGUUGCACGGCAGAACUUUGGGAUCGACGGGCAGCUGGUGGUCAAUUACGCAUCAUCCAUGGCAUGGGGGUAAAAGGUGAACUUGCUUGAAAUCAGCUUGAGCAAACACAGGAAACCCUUUUAUUUCCAAAAUUAACUUUUCACGGCACUGCUAAUGGAUGUAAAGCACUGCAAAUUGAGUUUCAAAAGGAAGCUCUUUCGUUCACAUGAUAUUCAGCAUGAUGGCAAAAGCAAGAUCGUUUUCCA